UACGUAGGGGGCAAGCGUUGUCCGGAAUUAUUGGGCGUAAAGCGCGUGUAGGCGGCUCGGUAAGUCUGCUGUGAAAGUCCAAGGCUCAACCUUGGAAAGCCGGUGGAUACUGUCGAGCUCGAGUCCGGAAGAGGCGAGUGGAAUUCCUGGUGUAGCGGUGAAAUGCGCAGAUAUCAGGAGGAACACCAAUGGCGAAGGCAGCUCGCUGGGACGUGACUGACGCUGAGACGCGAAAGCGUGGGGAGCAAACAGG
rnacentral:rRNA from 1 species